rnacentral:lncRNA from 1 species
GCAUAUGUCCUCGGGUAAUCCUCUCUCAAAGUUUUCUUUUUGUUGUAUAGAGGGACUGCCAUCAUACAAUGAAGUACUGGAAAAAAAGACAAUGAGAAAAUAGGCAAUUCCCAAAAUUACAGAAAGCAAACAAAUCCACAUAAUUUCUUCCCAAAUAGGAGGGCCAGCAUAAUUUCUUCACAAUCAAACAAAUCUACAUAAUUUCUUCCCAAAUAGAAAGGCCAGCACCAAUCACGCCAACAUCCCCAGUCACUAGUUCAAAUUCCUUGACAGUUUCACAUCUCAUCACGUCGCGUCCUGACAUAAGAUAAUUGGACUUCUUCUUUUUUUCCGCUAAUAUCGUGUUUGGAAGGCGGUGGGGGGCUCGCCCAAAAUGAUUGGACCAUCCAAUCCACUCUUUUACUUGAAUUUAUAACAAGACAAAGACCCAGAUUAAUAUGGACACAUUACCUCAAGAAAGAAAGGGUACAAAAUGAGAAGAAAAAGGUAAGUUGGCGACCUUCUACACCAUUCUUCCGGCACCAAAAGACAGCGCCACCAAACACCAUUCCUUACAUUGGGCUCGAACGACCGUCGUCCACGUCGCGGAUGUGACUUGAGACUCUCAAUUCGUGUCAAGACUACUGUGAUCGCAUUCAUCACCUCCGCGUCGAUUCGCGUUUGACAGAACGUGCCGUGCGGAAUCUGAUUCUUUACGCCGGAAUGAUUGUCUCUCCCUCUCUCCAUCAGUCCCAUCUCUUGCGUCGCGUUAGUCCUGGACGCGAUGAAAGCUUCGGUGACUCAGCGAACGAUGUAAAAGAUCACAGCGUCUGAUUCGGCACACUGUUUUCUGCUACAUGCAUAUAUCACCUUGGAAGCAAUCUCUUUCUUGUGAAAUGGUUUGUCGAAAACAUUCUUCAAUCCCGAAAACGGGCUGAUAAUGAAUGAUAUGGAGCAAAAAAAUGGACAUCAUAGACCAAAACAUGCUGAUCUUGAUCCCAGCAGGCGAAAAACAAGAUGAAAAUGAUAAGAUUGAUAAACGAAAAGGGAGUCAAAGAAGUCCUAAAUUCUGUAUCGUAUCAACGAAUAAGCAACUGAACUGAUAUCUAUGUUAUGUCUACGGCAAUAUACUCAACAAUAUAGAUAGGGAUGUCAACAAUUCAGUUCGGUUCAGUUUGGAUUCAAUUUUGAAAAAUCGAACCAAACUGAACCAUUAGGAAAAACUUCCAAACCGAACUGAAAUUUCGAUUCAGUUCGGUUUAUUGAUUUUUGGUUUUCAACUUUUAGUUUUUGGUGUUUGCAUUUGUUUUUUUUUUUCGUUUUUUUUUCUAUUAUAUUUCCAAGAAAUAACUUCUUAUCGGUUUGUUGGUUCGGUUUGAUUCAGUUAACCGGUAAAAACCGAAUCGAUAAAAAAAAUUUUGGUUUUUAACGAAAACUUAAUCGAAUCGAAAAAAUUGAAUUUUUCAAUUCAAUUCGAUUUAGUUUUCGGUUUGGUUUUUGACACCCUAAGUACAGAGUUAGCCUAUGGUUGAGUACACUGCUCAUUGACUCUGAAGUGACCUUUCGCCCACCCCUCCUUACCCAAACACCGAUACCCAAACACGGAUUGCUACUAUACUAACCUAUUCGACGGUAGCCAAAGUGAAAUACACCAUGACAUAGAGUCUACCUUUUCUAUCAUAAAGCCCCCUAAUUACUUAUCUAUUUUUGCAAUCCCGACAGAAAGGGAAUACGGAGGACAACAUAGGGCCUCCUAGCCUAAGGCGAUCCUCACAUCUGUUUCCUCUUUGAGCCUUUUAAAGACUUGCUCAAGUCCGAUCUUUCUUGUAAAAUGGUUUGUCGAAAACAUUCUUCAAUCCUGAAAACGGACUGAUAAUGAAUGAUAUGGAGCAAAAAAAAUGGACAUCAUAGACCAAAACGUGCUGAUCUUGAUCCCGGCAGGCGAAAAACAACAUGAAAUGAUAAGAUUGAUAAACGAAAAGGGCGUCGAAGAAGUCCCAGAUUCUGUACCGCAUCAACGGAUAAGCAACUGAACUUAUAUCUAUGUUAUGUCUACAGAAUUGGGUUGAGGAGAAGAGAGUACUUACGAAUGGAAAAGAACUUCCGAAAAAGUUUAGAUUACGCAGAGGCUCGGAAGGAGAAGGGAGGAUGGAAGGCGGAGGGGGCGAAGGGGAGGCUGCGGAGGAUGAGGAACCGGACCCUCCGCGGGAGCGGCGCGCUGCCGAACAGGUGCUGGAGCGCCCUCGCCAGCACCGCCGUGUACUGCUCCAUCAGCUCCGCCAGUACCGCCACCAGUAACAUUCCUCUCUGCUCUCUCUCGGACGCACCAAUUGCCACUUCAGCUGAAACCGACCCGAGUGGUUAUGUACAGGGGAGGAAGAUUGGCGAGUCAUGUGGGAAGAUGGGGGGGUUUUAAUGAGAUUUUUGGUUGUAUGUGGUACGCGCCAUGGUGCAAAAAUUGACAGUUGGAAGCCAAACAUGCUAUGUUCUUGUACAUUUUAUAUUGGGAAAAUUGUGAAAAAGAGUAUAACUUGAG